CUCUCUGAGACAGUGGGAAGACAGUGGGACGACAGUGGGACUGCCACACCAACCAGGUUACCACUACACAAGUAC